ACACUAAUUUUGAGUGGCAUUUGAGACAAAACAAGUCGAUGAUAUCAGAGCGACAUUGAUUGUAUUAAUACCUUGAAAUUGGAUAAGGAGAAAGCCAAGCCAAAGCCGAAGCCAGGAGAAAAACCAACCUAUCCACACAAAAAGCUUCAGCUUUAAGGUUGAGUUGAAAUCAAGAGUUCUCCCAAAACGAUGUGUUUCAGAGUGGAUUGCAAGCAAUGUGGGAAGUACUCCUGGGGAGGAUGUGGUAAGCACUUGGCCACCCUGUACGCCAGCAUAGAUGAGGGGAAGCAUUGCAUGUGCCGGUCAUGGCCUGGUGUGGCCAUCCCCAAGCAGGGGACACCUACUCCCCAACAAUCUGUGGCCUCAGCCUCAGGAAAGUAGCAACUCUGAGAUGUGUCCAGUGCUGGCCAGCAGUAGCCGCCUUAUUAGAUUGAGAGUGGUGCCAGCAUAAACAAUGGACAGAUGGGGAUAAUUUGAAUAACGGCAGCUCAAAGCCACAAGAUGAAUACCAUCGUAUCCAUUUUAAGGGGUUUGUUUGUUUAAUUAGAUGUCGUCUGUCUAAGUUUAAUAAUAAUAAUGUUAGUGCUGGUGUGUUUAUGGUCAAGACACAUUUGACCAAUUCAAACCUGCCUUUUUCUAGUGUAAGGAUUGAAUAAUACUAAUAAAGUGGGGUUGCACCAAUCUUCACAAAAUCAAACCUUGUGACCCACAGUCUUUUGUAGCCAA